rnacentral:rRNA from 1 species
UGCAUCUAGAUUAGACUUUGAUCCUGGCUCAGAACGAACGCUGGCGGCAGGCUUAACACAUGCAAGUCGAGCGGGCCCUUCGGGGUCAGCGGCAGACGGGUGAGUAACGCGUGGGAACGUACCAUUUGCUACGGAAUAACUCAGGGAAACUUGUGCUAAUACCGUAUGAGCCCCCCUUUAAAAUUUCAGGAAUCAUAAAAUGCCCUGGCAUUUUAUGGGGGGGAAAGAUUUAUCGGCAAAUGAUCGGCCCGCGUUGGAUUAGCUAGUUGGUGGGGUAAAGGCCUACCAAGGCGACGAUCCAUAGCUGGUCUGAGAGGAUGAUCAGCCACACUGGGACUGAGACACGGCCCAGACUCCUACGGGAGGCAGCAGUGGGGAAUAUUGGACAAUGGGCGCAAGCCUGAUCCAGCCAUGCCGCGUGAGUGAUGAAGGCCCUAGGGUUGUAAAGCUCUUUCACCGGUGAAGAUAAUGACGGUAACCGGAGAAGAAGCCCCGGCUAACUUCGUGCCAGCAGCCGCGGUAAUACGAAGGGGGCUAGCGUUGUUCGGAUUUACUGGGCGUAAAGCGCACGUAGGCGGGCUAAUAAGUCAGGGGUGAAAUCCCGGGGCUCAACCCCGGAACUGCCUUUGAUACUGUUAGUCUUGAGUAUGGUAGAGGUGAGUGG